GGGGGUGAAAGGGUUCGACUUAGGGCAGUCGGGUAAAAACAGCAUGCCGCGGAAGCAGGGUUGGCCGCGUAAAACAAACCUUGCAAACUACAAACGCUAACAACAGAAUCAAUGCGUUUAACACCGUUCCGGUAGUUCCUCUCGUGGGACCUAUGGGAAUGGUUCCAGCCUUAGCUAAUUAAUUAGCUAAGCCUCUCUGCGGGUUUCGCCUACGGCCUGUAAGAGAGCCUUAGUAGGCUGGCCCGGUUUUUUGCUCCCGGGAACCGGGCGAGAUAAGGGAGCUGCGGUCCUUCCGGUCGUGUUUAUCCGGACGGCUGGACCGAAGCUUGAAAGAUAAACUAAGCAUGUAGCGGUUUCUACCGGAUUACUUAAGGACGCGGGUUCGAUUCCCGCCACCUCCACCA
rnacentral:tmRNA from 1 species